AGUGAACGCUGGCGGUAUGCCUAACACAUGCAAGUCGAACGGCAGCACAGUACUAGCUUGCUCUUACGGGUGGCGAGUGGCGGACGGGUGAGGAAUACACCGCACUCUACUUUUUCGUGGGGGUUAACGUCUGGAUAUUUUCGCUAAUACCGCAUACGACCUACGGGUUAAAGCAGGGGAUCUUUGGAUCUUGCGCGAUUGAAUGAGCCGAUGUCGGUUUGGUUAGUUGGCGGCGUAAAGGCCCACCAAGGCGACGAUCCGUAGCUGGUCUGAGGGGGUGAAGAGCCACACUGGGGGUGAGACACGGUACAGGCUCCUACGGGAGGCAGAGGUGGGGAAUAGAGGAAGAUGGGGGCAAGCCUGAACAAGGCGUGCAGGGUGGGUGAAGAAGGGCUGCGGGUUGUAAGGCGCUUUUGUUGGGAAAGAAAAGCAGCAGGUGGAAAGACGGCUGUUGUGACGGUACCCAAAGAAGAAGCACCGGCUAACUUCGUG
rnacentral:rRNA from 1 species